AACGCUAGCUACAGGCUUAACACAUGCAAGUCGAGGGGCAGCAUUGGAGUAGCAAUACUUCAGAUGGCGACCGGCGCACGGGUGAGUAACACGUAUCCAACCUGCCGCUUACUCGGGGAUAGCCUUUCGAAAGAAAGAUUAAUACCCGAUGGUAUAAAGAGUUCGCAUGUUCUCUUUAUUAAAGAAUUUCGGUAAGCGAUGGGGAUGCGUUCCAUUAGAUAGUUGGCGGGGUAACGGCCCACCAAGUCUACGAUGGAUAGGGGUUCUGAGAGGAAGGUCCCCCACAUUGGAACUGAGACACGGUCCAAACUCCUACGGGAGGCAGCAGUGAGGAAUAUUGGUCAAUGGACGCGAGUCUGAACCAGCCAAGUAGCGUGAAGGAUGACUGCCCUAUGGGUUGUAAACUUCUUUUAUAAGGGAAUAAAGUGAGGGACGUGUCCCUUUUUGUAUGUACCUUAUGAAUAAGGAUCGGCUAACUCCGUGCCAGCAGCCGCGGUAAUACGGAGGAUCCGAGCGUUAUCCGGAUUUAUUGGGUUUAAAGGGAGCGUAGGUUGACGUAUAAGUCAGCUGUGAAAGUUUACGGCUCAACCGUGAAAUUGCAGUUGAUACUGUAUGUCUUGAGUGUACAAGAGGUGGGCGGAAUUCGUGGUGUAGCGGUGAAAUGCUUAGAUAUCACGAAGAACUCCGAUUG
rnacentral:rRNA from 1 species